GGCAACACGUUCCGAAGCGAUACUCACAUUUGGAAGGCUGCCUCGCGAGAGACAGGUUGAUCUGCCGGAAACAUGGGGUUCGCCAGAAACUACCUCGUAAGCCUGCUCCUCUACGUCUCCAUUGUCAACGAGAUUCGUCAACCAGCGGUGACGUGCCAGGACGAAGAGAGCAGUCACUGCAUACCAAAGAAGAUCUUCGUGGCGUUGCUACGCUUACCGGAGGUCAGCUCAAAUCUAGCCGCCUAUUCGAGGACAGCGAGGAUCAUUCAGGAAACGAAAAACCGCAACGACAUGGUUCACCUGAAAGCUCUCAGCUCGGAGGAGAGCGACGACGCCGAGAUUUGUAUCCCAAGCGGGGUUUAUCUGGAGCUCUUCAGGGAUCCGGCCUUGCGAGGACACCUGAGCGUGAUGGCUCGUACUCACAAGCUGCCUGAAUUCCCGGGACGCCUCUUGGACGACAGCGAGGAGAUCGAGCCGAGGGACGUGAUUUCUGAAUUGGAGAAACGUAGCCUCGCUACGUUGGCCAAGAACGACGACCUGCCUGUUACUAUCCAGGAACGCCGGAGUGACCGCGAUGACGAGGAGAAACGGUCCCAUUUCAGCGACAAUCGGGGCGCUCUGAUAAGCGCACUACUAGCCGAGGAGUACCGCCGACGAGUACCCGAGUACUACGACUUCCUGUCUGAGUUGGACCCGGAGGUGGACGAGUACACGCUCGACAAGCGCAACGUGGGCUCCUUGGCGCGGGACUUCGCCUUGCCUACGGGUCGACGUCACAUCGCUUCGGUGGCGCGCGAUUACGGUUUGCCGAGCGGCAAGAGAAACAUCGGCGCCUUGGCCAGGCAGAGCAUGCUGCCACUGAACGGUAAGAGAAACGUCGCCUCUCUGGCGAGAUAUUACAUGCUGCCGCAGGCCGACAAGAGGAACGUGGCCGCCUUGGCCAGGGAGUCGUCCUUGCCUUACGGCAAGCGUUAUCUCGGCUCGCUGGCUCGAAGCGGCGGCUACCCGGUCUACGGAUACGACGACGGCAAGAGGAGCGUCGCCUCCUUGGCCAGAAACGCCGAUUGGCCGGCUUUCGCGAAGCGAGGUCGCUCGACACCGGGUAGAAUAAUGGCUACGAUGCGAGUGCUCAAUCGCCACGGGAGAUCCUUGAACGACGAUCGCGAGGCGCGAAAUAACGAGCCGUUGGACCUGCAGCAACUCAUCAGGCAGGGCCACCACGGCGACGAGGAGGCGAAGGAGGACGUUGCCGAGUGGCAGACCACUCCCUUCAGUGUGCUGGACGAGCUGGAAGACACCAAGGCGAAGAACAGGUCCAACAGGAAAAUGGACGUCGCGUCGCAAACGAGACACAAAAGGCAGAUCGAUUUCUCUGACGAGUAUCCGUUGCCCGUCGUGCAAAACGCCAACGUAUUCGACUACGAGGACAUGAUCGACGCGUUCGCUGAUCAUUACCCGAACGCAGAGAAGAGGUUCAUGGGUUCCGUGCCGGAGAUGCCGGCCGACUCGGGCUACCCGGAAGUUUUGCGAACGAGUAAGAGGCAUAUCGGGGCCCUCGCGCGCCUCGGCUGGCUCCCGUCGUUCCGUGCACCACGAUUCUCUCGGUCACCGCGAUAUCUGGUCGGAAGGUCAGACCAUUAGGCAGCGCUCUCCGUGUCCUCCGCCGUGUCCUCUUCUCCCACUUCGAUGUGAUGUCUUCACCGUUUGUCGUAUCAAGUAGAGCUCUACCUACAGACUGAGAAAAUGUCAUAUGUGGAGAAUCCCGCAGAUGGGUCCACGUCCCACUACACCUCCGACACGUCGACACGGUCGCUAAGGCCGUUAUUCACCCCG
rnacentral:misc_RNA from 1 species